rnacentral:rRNA from 1 species
GACGAACCGUGCAAACGUUAUUCGGAAUCACUGGGCAUAAAGGGCGCGUAGGCGGCUUUCUAAGUCAGGGGUGAAAUCCGGCAGCUCAACUGUCGCAGUGCCUUUGAUACUGGAGAGCUCGAGGGAGGUAGGGGUCUGUGGAACUUCCGGUGGAGCGGUGAAAUGCGUUGAUAUCGGAAGGAACGCCGGUGGCGAAGGCGACUCGCUGGACAAGUAUUGACGCUGAGGUGCGAAAGCGUGGGGAGCAAACAGG